rnacentral:rRNA from 1 species
UGCAAGUCGAACGAAGUCUUCGAGACUUAGUGGCGCACGGGUGCGUAACGCGUGGGAAUCUGCCCUUGGGUACGGAAUAACUCAGAGAAAUUUGUGCUAAUACCGUAUAAUGACUUCGGUCCAAAGAUUUAUCGCCCAAGGAUGAGCCCGCGUAAGAUUAGCUAGUUGGUGAGGUAAAAGCUCACCAAGGCGACGAUCUUUAGCUGGUCUGAGAGGAUGAUCAGCCACACUGGGACUGAGACACGGCCCAGACUCCUACGGGAGGCAGCAGUGGGGAAUAUUGGACAAUGGGCGAAAGCCUGAUCCAGCAAUGCCGCGUGAGUGAUGAAGGCCCUAGGGUUGUAAAGCUCUUUUACCCGGGAUGAUAAUGACAGUACCGGGAGAAUAAGCUCCGGCUAACUUCGUGCCAGCAGCCGCGGUAAUACGAGGGGAGCUAGCGUUGUUCGGAAUUACUGGGCGUAAAGCGCGCGUAGGCGGCUUUUUAAGUCAGAGGUGAAAGCCCGGGGCUCAACCCCGGAAUUGCCUUUGAAACUGGAAAGCUAGAAUCUUGGAGAGGUCAGUGGAAUUCCGAGUGUAGAGGUGAAAUUCGUAGAUAUUCGGAAGAACACCAGUGGCGAAGGCGACUGACUGGACAAGUAUUGACGCUGAGGUGCG